rnacentral:lncRNA from 1 species
CUGCUUAUAAGUCCAGUCUCCGGCAGAUCCUUCACAAACCUCUCAGCCCUCAGACCUGCAGCUCCGGUUCACCAUGGCCUCCUUCGCUCCCUGGAUCCUGCUCAGCUUCGCGCUCAUUCUCUGUGUCACAUGCCAACGUGAAAGUUCUUUGAUUCACAUACAAGACCCCUGCUCCUGCAGCACGUCAGAUAUCAAAAAGGAGUCAAAACCCUUUCCCCUCAAACGCGUCAGCAAGUGCUUCAUUCAGGAGCCAUCGCGGUACUGUGACCACGCCAUCGUGGUAAAGACUAAAGCGGGACAAAAACUCUGCUUCAGCCCCGCACUUCCCUGGAUCGACAACUUCAUCAAGAAGACGACUCCGCCCUGUCAGCCUCUUCUGGUCCCAUUAUCAUGAUUCUGGAGCAGCUGCAGUUUUUUUAUAAUGAUUUCUUAUUGUUUAUUCUAUAUUAUUCUCCAUUUUUAUAUACAUUUAAUGAUAUUUACUUGUUUAUCUAUUGAUUAUCAUCAUCAUCAUCUGUAGCUUAACACACAAGUCUAUGUUCCAGUUGAUGUAACUCUUUUGCUGAAAUAAAGAUGUAAAUUCUGUUUUCUGUCUCUUUAAAUGGAG